CAGGUGCUGUGAAGACGAUCCCUGCAAGUCUGGUUUGGUGCCGCCCAGGUGGAUCCUUAUCAUAGACAAAUCGAAAAUCUUGAGGAGUGAGAGAAGGGAUGGAGAGGCUGAUGCUGAACUCGGCUGACGGAUCUGGAGACUACAUGUGUGGUGUCACCAACUGCACAGAAGAGCAACGCUUGUUAUCAUCAAGCCAAAAAGGAAGUGCAACCAGACGGACCAGACGUACAUCAGUGGCGAAAACAGCGGUAGAGGUCGGCUGUAUCUUUCAGCCUUCCAGAAAUCUCGCUGUUACCUGCCAGA